rnacentral:rRNA from 1 species
UACGUAGGGGGCGAGCGUUGUCCGGAUUUAUUGGGCGUAAAGAGCGUGUAGGCGGCCAGGUAGGUCCGUUGUGAAAACUCGAGGCUCAACCUCGAGACGUCGAUGGAAACCAUCUGGCUAGAGUCCGGAAGAGGAGAGUGGAAUUCCUGGUGUAGCGGUGAAAUGCGCAGAUAUCAGGAAGAACACCUAUGGCGAAGGCGGGAUCCUGGGCCAGUACUGACGCUGAGGAGCGAAAGCGUGGGGAGCAAACAGG